GACGAACGCUGGCGGCGUGCCUAAUACAUGCAAGUGGGACGCAAGAGAACACACUGUGCUUGCACACCGUGUUUUCUUGAGUCGCGAACGGGUGAGUAACGCGUAGGUAACCUGCCUAUUAGCGGGGGAUAACUAUUGGAAACGAUAGCUAAUACCGCAUAAUAUUAAUUAUUGCAUGAUAAUUGAUUGAAAGAUGCAAGCGCAUCACUAGUAGAUGGACCUGCGUUGUAUUAGCUAGUUGGUAAGGUAAGAGCUUACCAAGGCGAUGAUACAUAGCCGACCUGAGAGGGUGAUCGGCCACACUGGGACUGAGACACGGCCCAGACUCCUACGGGAGGCAGCAGUAGGGAAUCCUCGGCAAUGGACGAAAGUCUGACCGAGCAACGCCGCGUGAGUGAAGAAGGUUUUCGGAUCGUAAAGCUCUGUUGUAAGUCAAGAACGUGUGUGAGAGUGGAAAGUUCACACAGUGACGGAGCUACCAGAAAG
rnacentral:rRNA from 1 species